rnacentral:tRNA from 1 species
GGCGACGUGGCCGAGUAGUUAGGCAGAGGUCUGCAAAACCUUUCACGCCGGUGCAAUUCCGGUCGUCGCCUCCA